AUUCUGCUUCCCUUCCUUGCAUUUCUAAUGCGAUUCUACUGUUAAUAUGUACUUGAAAAGUGCAUAUCUUUGAAGGAGUUCUCGGCCUAAAAUGAAUUUUGCAAAUGAGGCAGUAGGAAACUAUGAACAAGAGCAAAAUAAUGAGGCAUCCACUUGGUUUGGAUGGAUAGAACAUGCUGGAACAUCCACGACUGUCAAAUAGAGAAAAAUGUUCGUCCAUCCUCAAGUUUUGCUGCUACAAAUAAUUUUCGAUGAGCAGAGUGAAGAGGAUGACAAUGACCGUUCGCACAAUGUGAUGGGUCCUUUCUCAGAUUCUGCGACCAAAGAUGCAUUAACUGUGACCACAAUUUCAUUCAAGCAAGAUCCUCUUUGUUGACUGUCGCUUUUAUAAACAAUGUGGAUGAAAUUUGUUUAACUAUGCGAUUUGAAAAAUUCACCAAUAGAUCUUUGGUCUGGUAUACUCUUCAGCUCCAUGGAAAAAUGGUAAAAUAUUUGAGUAUCAAGUAGGUCAAGGAGUUUACUGUUAGAAUCCACGACAAAAAAAUUGAAAGGCUAUUUGCAGGCGAUGGAAAGGAGGGUGUCAAUGGAUUAUUUAUUGUAAGGAGUGUGGUGACCAUAUGGGGAAGAUUGACAAAUACUAUGAAAAACAUACUUGUAAUAUGAGUAUAUUUGCAAAACAUCAUUUUAAUUUGGAUAUCAAUACGA